rnacentral:rRNA from 1 species
CCUACGGGUGGCUGCAGUAGGGAAUCUUGCACAAUGGGCGAAAGCCUGAUGGAGCAACGCCGCGUGGGUGAAGAAGGUCUUCGGAGCGUAAAACCCUGUUGUUAGAGAAGAAAGUGCGUGAGAGUAACUGUUCACGUCUCGACGGUAUCUAACCAGAUAGCCUCGGCUAACCACGUGCCAGCAGCCGCGGUAAUACGUAGGUGGCAAGCGUUAACCGGAUUUAUUGGGCGUAAAGGGGUCGCAGGGUGUCUGUUAAGUCUGAUGUGAAAGCCUUCGGCUUAACCGGAGUAGUGCAUUGGAAACUGGGAGACUUGAGUGCAGCAGAGGGGAGUGGAACUCCAUGUGUAGCGGUGAAAUGCGUAGAUAUAUGGAAGAACACCAGUGGCGAAGGCGGCUCUCUGGUCUGUAACUGACGCUGAGGUUCGAAAGCGUGGGUAGCAAACAGGAUUAGAUACCCUUGUAGUC